UAGUAAGUGCUCAAUAAAGGUUAGCUUUUCCUUAAAAUUUUCUUUAUUGUUUUUUUCCUACCCAUUAGAAUGUAAGUUCCAUGAAGGUAAGAACCUUGUGUUCUUGUCCACCAAGGCCUAGAAAGGUGGGACACAGAGUAGGCACUUAAAUAUUGAUUGGCUGAAAACAGAAUGUUAUCCCACCCUUCAGGGUCAAAUGCCAUGUCCUUUCUUCCCAGUCCGGUUCUCCACCGAGGGACAUGAGGCUGCUUUCACUAUCCGCAUAAGACACCCGCCCAACCCUCGGCUGUACCCACCUGGGUCUCUACCCCAGGGAGGUGAGGCUGGUAGGGGCAGGAACAUAUUAGAUCCAGCCUUGGUGGGGAGCAAGUUGGGAGAGGGCAGUCCUGGGAGGGGAUCUCUACCUGUUCCCCUCUCCCAACUCUCCUUGUCUGCACCCAACCCUGUGCCCCCAAUCUCAGCCCAGUACAACAUCAGUGCUCUAGUCACGAUUGCCACCAAGACCUUCCUCCGUUAUGAUCGGCUACGGGCUCUCAUCACCAGUAUCCGCCGCUUCUACCCAACGGUUACCGUGGUCAUCGCUGACGACAGCGACAAGCCAGAGCGCGUUAGUGGCCCCUACGUGGAACACUAUCUCAUGCCCUUCGGCAAGGUGUGCAGCUAGCAGGCUGAACGGCAGGCCAGAGGACUCCCGCAGGGGGUGUGCCCUCAAUCUGCAGCCUCCAGGGUAGUGAUUCGAGGACCACCUGCCUCAGAAUCAUGGGGUGCCUGUUAAGCAUGAGGAUUCCUGGAAUGUAAGCUUCGUGGGAGCAGGAAAUUCUCUCUGAAUUCUUAGAAUGGUGCUUAGUGCCUAAUGGCAUUCAAUAAAAUAGCUGAUGAAUGAAUAAAUAAAUGCACACAGAAAUUAAACGCAUUCCAAGACCACUGACUUGGAACCUCUGUGGGGAUCUGCAUUUUUUUUACCUAGCUCCUGGCCUUUUGAAAGCACUCAAAAGUCUGGAGAAGGAUACAAGCUGAGAAGGGUCGGGGGAGAGAAAGAAAGGUGACAGAGGGCCAUGUCCUAUUUCUGCAGCCUCCCCAACCACACACACCUUUCUGCCAGGGCUGGUUCGCAGGCCGGAACCUGGCCGUGUCCCAAGUAACCACCAAGUACGUGCUAUGGGUGGACGACGACUUCGUCUUCACGGCGCGGACGCGGCUGGAGAGGCUUGUGGACGUGCUGGAGCGGACGCCGCUGGACCUGGUAAGGCAGGGGCCGCAGGAUGUGGGGGUGGAGAAGGGCCUUGAACAGGCUAAGGCCACAGCGGGGGCGCUGCGGCCAGGAACGACCAGCCCUGGGACAAAGAGAGGACCACGAAGUGGGGCCUGGGAAAUGUCUGGGUCCUGCAGGGGUGAAGCGGAAGAGAAUGGGGCAGGGGUACCCCCGAAGGCACCGGAGCGCAGACCUUGACCCCUUCGGGUCCCUUAUCCCAGGCCGGCCUGGAACCAACCUUCCUCUCCCCGCAGGUGGGGGGCGCGGUGCGCGAGAUCUCCGGCUUUGCCACCACUUACCGGCAGCUGCUGAGCGUGGAGCCCGGCGCCCCAGGCCUCGGGAACUGCCUCCGGCAAAGGCGCGGCUUCCACCACGAGCUCAUCGGCUUCCCAGGCUGCGUGGUCACCGACGGCGUGGUUAACUUCUUCCUGGCGCGGACUGACAAGGUGCGCGAGGUCGGUUUCGACCCCCGCCUCAGCCGCGUGGCUCAUCUGGAAUUCUUCUUGGAUGGGCUUGGUUCCCUUCGGGUUGGCUCCUGCUCCGACGUCGUGGUGGAUCAUGCAUCCAAAUUGAAGCUGCCUUGGACAUCAAGGGAUGCCGGGGCAGCGACUUAUGCCCGGUACCGUUACCCAGGAUCACUGGACGAGAGCCAGAUGGCCAAACACCGGCUGCUCUUCUUCAAACACCGGCUGCAGUGCAUGACUUCCCAGUGAUGGCCCGCUGGGGAUUUCUGACUGUCAGGCUGGGCCUGCCUCCUUGUCCCUGCCAGGAAUUUCCAACAAACUCCAACACCCUGUGAGCACUCUACUGGCUGUCCCUGAGCCUCUAGUUCCUCACUCUUCCUUUUCAGAACCUGAUGCCCAAUAGGGGUUGUCCUGGUGACACCCCUCCUUUUUCCAGUGCCCAGAGGCCUGGUGGAGCCAUAACCUCUCCCACAGCCAGUGCCGAGUCCUCCCCCUGCCCAUUCUCAUGGGGCAGGAAAUGGGGGGAUCACUUUCCAAGUGCCAAAGAGCCCAGAGGGACUCUAAGAACCUAAGGUGGAAACACUGUCCUCUCAUCUUGGGACUGAGGGGGUGGGGAAGUUCCCCAACACAUAAUCCCAAGACUGUGCCCCUCAUCUGCAUCUUCAGAUCCAGUACUCUGUACCUGCUCCAGCCCCACCCCCACAGAGAGAACUUGUGGCUCUGGGGCUGGGGUGAGGGCUGGUGGUCGGUGAAAGCCAUUCUUAGUUGUGUCUCUGCAAUGCUGUGGGCACAAAAGAAGGGGCGCCAGAGUCCCUGUGC
rnacentral:sRNA from 1 species